UACAGAGGUCCCAAGCGUUUGUUCGGAUUCACUGGGCGUAAAGGGUGCGCAGGUGGUCGGGUAAGUCUGACGUGAAAUCCCGCAGCUUAACUGCGGAAUGGCAUUGGAUACUAUUCGGCUAGAGGGUUGGAGGGGGGACUGGAAUUCUCGGUGUAGCAGUGAAAUGCGUAGAUAUCGUAAGGAAGACCAGUGGCGAAGGCGGGUCUCGUGGACAGUUCCUGACGCUGAGGCACGAAGGCCAGGGGAGCAAACGGG
rnacentral:rRNA from 1 species